AUGGGGAAACUCAGCAGCAACAACAGCAGCAGCAUUGUAGUGCUCACCAUGGGCCAGUUUUUUGCUUUUAAAAAUUGCAUCAUCUUCGAUAUAUCAAUCACCCGAGUCUGGUUCGAAGAGCUGAACGCUGAUCUCUUCCGUGGCACACUGGAUCCUGUGGAGAAGACCUUAAGAGAUGCCAAGCUAGAUAAAUCACAAAUUCAUGACAUCGUCCUGGUGGGUGGUUCCACUCGCAUCCCCAAAAUCCAGAAGCUUCUGCAAGACUUCUUCAAUGGCAAGGAGCUCAACAAGAGCAUCAAUCCUGAUGAGGCUGUUGCUUAUGGUGCAGCUGUUCAGGCUGCCAUUUUGUCUGGAGACAAAUCUGAAAAUGUGCAGGACUUGCUGCUGUUGGAUGUGACUCCUCUUUCCCUUGGAAUUGAAACUGCUGGAGGAGUUAUAACUGUUCUCAUCAAAUGUAAUACCACCAUCCCCACCAAGCAGACAGACCUUUACCACCUAUUCUGACAACCAGCCUGGUGUGCUUAUUCAGGUUUAUGAAGGUGAGAGAGCAAUGACAAAGGAUAACAACCUGCUUGGCAAGUUUGAGCUCACAGGAAUCCCCCCAGCACCCAGAGGUGUUCCUCAGAUUGAAGUAACAUUUGACAUUGAUGCAAAUGGCAUCCUAAAUGUUUCUGCUGUGGAUAAGAGCGCAGGCAAGGAGAAUAAGAUCACCAUCACAAAUGACAAAGGUCGUCUGAGCAAAGAAGACAUUGAACGUAUAGUCCAGGAGGCUGAGAAAUACAAGGCUGAAGAUGAGAAGCAGAGAGACAAGGUUUCUUCUAAGAAUUCUCUUGAAUCUUAUGCCUUCAACACGAAGGCUACUGUGGAAGAUGAAAAGCUGCAGGGCAAAAUUGGUGAUGAAGAUAAACAAAAGAUUCUUGACAAAUGUAAUGAAAUAAUCAACUGGCUGGAUAAGAAGCAGACUGCUGAAAAGGAAGAAUUUGAGCAUCAGCAGAAAGAAUUGGAGAAGGUCUGCAACCCCAUCAUCACUAAGCUGUAUCAGAGUGCAGGGGGUAUGCCUGGAGGCAUGCCUGGUGGGUUCCCAGGAGGUGGAGCAGCCCCAUCUGGAGGGGCUUCUUCUGGACCCACCAUUGAAGAGGUUGACUAAGUGCACCAGAAGAAAAAGCAUUCCACACAGCUUUCCAAAAAUUGAAGGACUCAAAUUUGUAGCCAAGGCAGUAGCAGUCUAAAAAGUAACAUUUAAGCUACUGUGUAAAUCUGGGCAUU